UGCCAGCUUUUCCUUAAAUUUUGUCAAGGAAGUUUCCAUGCAAGGCUUUGUUGUGCCAGCUGUCAGCUCUAGUUUGUAGUGUGGUUUUCUUGUACUGGUUUUUUGUCUGCUGUGCUUUGAGGAGUUUCUGAUUUCUGACUUCAAUCAAAGCAGGUUCUUCACUUUGCUUUACAUAUUCUGCCAGGGCAUGUUCUUCUUCUUUGACUGCUUGUUUUACUUGUAAGAGUCCUCUGCCACCUGAUCUUCUAGGCAGAUAUAGCCGGUCAACAUCACUGCGAGGAUGCAGUGAAUGAUGAAUGGUCAUGAGUUUUCUUGUUUUUCUGUCCAAAUUGUCCAGUUCCACCUGUGUCCAAUUUAUAAUGCCAGCAGUAUAUCUUAUGACAGGUAUGGCCCAGGUGUUUAUGGCCUUGAUAGCUUGCUUUUGAGAAUUUUUCUGACCCUUUGUGUGUAUUCUUUGCUGACCACAGUUUUGACAUGUUCAUGCUUGAUGUUGUCCAGCUGUAAUAUGGCCAGAUAUUUAUAGGCCUCUGGCUGGUAACACUUUAUUGUUUGGCCAUUAGGCAUAUUUAUGCCCUCACUUUCAAUGAUUUUUCCCUUCUUCAAUGCCACUGUCGAACAUUUUUCAAAAUUAUUAUUAUUAUUAUUAUUAUUAUUAUUAUUAUUAUUAUUAUUUCCCUUAAUCCAGACAUAUUAUUAUUUUAAUGCUGUCUACAAUUACAUUGCCUUUUUAGCUGCUGCAUCACACUGUUGAUGCAUGUUCAGCUUAUGGUCUACUAAGACUCCGAGAUCCCUUUCACAUGCACUGUUGUCAAGCCAAGUGUUGCACAUCCAUCCCUUAUCUAUGCAUUUCUUUUUUACUGCCUAAGUAUAGUAGUUUCCAUUCCACCCCCACUGAAAUUCAUUUUAUUAGUUUAGGCCAGUUUUGUAAUCUGACUCUAAAUCCUCGGUAACCAGAUAGCCUUUCAUAAAAAGUAAUAAUAAAAGGAAAACAAUAAGUGACAGUAUUCAAAAUUUCAUUCAUCAAUUAUGUUUAUAUUUCUGUUCUAUAUACUUCACCUUUUUUGUACAAAAGUAGUUCUAUAUAGGAUCUACUCAAAGAUCUAUGUUAAUUUGUUUAUGUAUUGAUUUGGAUAGAAACCAAGGCCAAGUCUACAAUUUGGACUCUCCCCAAAUUGAUUUCUGACUGUUCUCAUAAUUCUGAUGAGUAUUGUGGGGCUUUGUAGAAGUAAACUGACUUUGCUCCAAUUUGGGCAAAGUUAUGUUGCACCCUUAGACUGCAGAGACACCUUAAAACAAGGUAUCAAAAUUAGUCCAAGGAACAGGAACAAAACUGGAACAAAUAACAGGAUCUUUGACUAGAACAAGGGAUCCACACUGCAAAACUUCCAGGAACAAUGACUGGAUAAUCCAAAAUUCCCCAAGAGCAAUAACAAGGACUGGAAGAAAACUCAGGAUACAAGGCUACAUGAACUUGGCAUGAAAGUCCAAAGGAACAUGAAACAGGAUUCUAUGAAGCAUGAAACAUGAGUCCAUAAACAGGAACCGUGCUCUUGAUGAGUAACGUUACCACCUCUGAAAGGCUCUCUCAGAAGCAGUUCCUCUUAAAGCUGAAAUCAAGGCCUCUUUCCAUGGGAAGUUUGCUCAAAACCUUUUCUCAUUAGCAACCGUCUGCUCUGUCUCAAAACCUCCCUUUCUUGUCUCUGUUGACAUAUGGCUUUCUUUCUGUCAACCUCAUUAGUCUUAUCACAACUGAAAUGCCCAUCUGCCAAGGGAUAGUUCGACCUUGACUCUCCCAAGGAAUGCGGUUCAAGCUGCCUGCUUGAAACCAUUGCAUGCUUAUUCCCAGAAUCCUCAGGAACAAACUGUGGCUGGCCAGGAACAGCAGCUUC
ensembl:lncRNA